rnacentral:piRNA from 1 species
UGGAACUCCUUUCUCGCACCUCU